rnacentral:lncRNA from 1 species
AUCAAGCACCAAUCCACACAUCAUGAUCAAGAUGAACACAAAUUAUCCAAUUGAUCAAAAGAAAAAGGUAGAGAAUGGGAUGAAGAAGAAGAGGACAAGAAAAAUCAAAUUCAAAUUGGAUUAAAGGCUUGAUCAAGUCACCGUCAAAAUCAAUCAUCCAUUUUGGUGGAUGAGGGCUUUCACCCCAUCAACACCCAAGAUCCAUUGAGUUUGAUGAGACCUAUGAUCAAAACAAACAUGAUCCAAGUCCAACAGAAGUCAACAAAGGUCAAACAAAUAUAAAAUUUCAAGAAAAUAAAAUAAAAUGCAUUAAAAAAAAUUUUAAAAUGAAUUUUAAAAGAAAAAUAAAAGAGAAAAUCCAUAAAGCCCUUUAAAACACCAAAUAAAUGGCCAAGAAAAUUAUGGAAGGUUGAAAAUAAAAUAAGAAGUAUAAAAUAAAUUUUUCAGAAAUUAAAAAUUCCUAAAAGUAUUUUUAAAUCAAUUAAAACAAAGGAGAAAAUAGAAAAUUCAAGAAAAAUAGAAAAUCAAGAAAA